AUGUUCAGCGCCGCCUCGGCAAUAUCACUUGGAGAUGGAGAAUCAGCAAGGUUUUGGAUUGAUAACUGGCUUCCGGAUGGCCGCUCGCUUGCUUCUAUGGCGCCGGCCCUGUUCUCUUUUGUCAAAGACUCCGGCUGCUCGGUUCGGGAAGCACUGCAGAAUCAAUCAUGGAUUAGGGACAUCUCUGGUGGCGUCUCGGUGCAAGCAUUGGCGCAGUAUCUGACAGUUUGGGAUAUCACUCAGGAAACAAUUUUGCGGUCAGGAUCGCGGGAUUGUGCACUCUGGAAGCUCAUGAAGGAGCGGGAGUUCUCUGUCAGCAGCGCCUACAGGAUGAUGUUCAUGGCAAAUAUAUGCUUUGCUUGCAACAAGCCGAUCUAG
rnacentral:rRNA from 1 species